GAAUAAUGAAGAUAAUAAAAGAUGUUGCUAAAAAUGGGCACAAUAACAGCAAAUUUCAUCAAGCCGCGCGCUCUGAUUAAUCUGCUCUUGCAAAUCAGCAGCGAGAGGGGAGCGCGUGAUUAACCGCACCGAGGCCGGCAGCAGGCGGCGGCGCUGCCCUUUCUCCGCGUGUCUCUGGGCGCGUCCUGCCCGCUCCCCGCGCCGCCCGCGCGCCUCUCGCCGCAGCUGCCGCUGGGGCCGCCCCGGGAGCGGCUCAACGGGGCGCACCGCCGCCGCCUGCCCGCCGCCCGGGCUUCACGCCUCGGCCGCUGCGCCGCAGCCUUUUGUCGCGGCUGCGUGCGGGGUGAUGGCCGCCUUGCCCCGCGGUCCCCUCGCACCUCCGCUCCGGGAGCUUCCCGCCUGCGCCUUGGUAGGGGGGAGGCCCCGGAGGCGCUGAAGUCCUCGCUACCCCCGUUCACUCUCCCGAUGCAGAAUAAACUGGGAAACAAUUAGCUAGCCGGGUGGGAAGGUGGUGGGCUACUCCAAGGCCGGCGGGCUGUGUACCCCCGCCCUCGAAUGGGGCUGGGGGUCCCGGCAGUUGGGAAUUGCUAAUUAGGAGAGAAGAUGAGAGCUGCCCGUUGGGCCCGUGAGGGCAGCCACUUUCGAAGAAACCAGGAAUGGCGCUGUGAGAUGCGCGGGCCCUGUUCCACCCAGCUCCCCAUCACGCACAAAAAAGAACGGGCCUUGAAGGAGAUGAGUUUAUUAUCCCCUUUUAAACGACUGUUCAGAAAAGAUCAGGAGAGGGAAAAAAAAAAAAAAUGCUUCCACCCCGCCAAUUUCCUUCCCUUGAAGAAAAGAGAAAGAAAAAGCAACCCACAAAGGGCCAACACAAGGGGCUAAUAAAAUCUCUGAGAGCUGUAGUACUCAAAUACAUGUUGUGUGGGAGUUUGUGAAAGCAACUUUGCUGAGUACAAACCCUAGACGAUGAAACUGAAAACACUUCGAAAAUCACAGGAUCCUCUCCCAAUCACGGCGCCGCACUUUUCCAGCUUUCUAGGAUAAAGUUGUCUCAGGAAAAUAAAAACUGUUGAUAAACCAUCGUUCCAGACUGUUACUUAUUUUGCAACUCUCCGUUUGCAAUCGAUCAUAGCUCGGGCCUAACAGAACUGACUCGGGCUUUUCAUUUGUUUAUAGAGAGUGCAGUGUUUU
ensembl:lncRNA